AUUGUAGUCUACUGUAAUUAUUCUUAAUAGGAUGUUGGGAAAUACAAAUGCUGACCUAUUUUAUUCAGUAAUUAGGGGAAGCUUAAGUACUUUAAAUGCACCCUUUUAAAAUUGCCAGUGUUACUGUGAAUUGUCUUGUAAAACCAAAAAGCACCCCCAAUUUAGCCUUUCUGUAGAUCUUUUACAUAUGCUUAAAGGAUUUGGGUCGGGAUUCUUAGUGUCUUUGUAUUUAAUUUUGUGUCUUCGAGGAAGGGGAGCUACGAAAUGUAGUACUUCCAUACCUUUUGCGGGUGACAGAGUGAGUCUCUGUCUCAAAAAAAAGAGAAAACAGAAAAGAUGGACCUUGAAGAGACAGAGUUUUCUUUGUGGUUGGGGUAUUGGGUACAACACUCUUGCUGUGUGAAAAAGGAAUCACUUAGAGUGCUUAAGCAUGAGAUAAGGGGUUGUAAAACCUUCUAGGCUAAAUAAUUAAAUUAUUUUAAAAUUUUUACUUUAAAAUCAAAGUAAUACAUGUACAUGAUUGAACAAAUAAAGCGGUUCUUGAAGAUUUACCACAAAAAUACCAGACACUUGUUAAUUUCUUUUUACUCUGUUUCUCUCGUUGAAGGCAAACACUUUCAAGUCCUUUAACUUUUUCUUCUAGUAUUUACCUUUGUGUUUCUGAAAAAGUAUACUUUAUAACCACUUCUUGACUUAAAUAGUUUAGGUAUUACUUUUUUAUAAAUUAAGAAUUGAUAAAGUGAGGAUUUAACUCUUUAUUCUCUCUUUCUUCUAUAUCCUUCUUCCAUCCUCCCAAUUUAGAUUCUGUCAUAAUUUUUCGUUAAAUUAGUAGUUAGGUUUUAUAUUAUUAUGACCAGGUAAACAUGACUAGCCUUUGAGCCAAA
rnacentral:lncRNA from 1 species